rnacentral:rRNA from 1 species
GUUCAUGAGACAAUGUUUUUGUUAAACAGUCGAAAUAGUAGUUUGCCGAGUUCCUUAAUUAAUUAUUGUUGUUUUAUUUAUUGUUAGUUAUUAGAUUAUUGUUAAAAUAGUUUUAGAAUACUUAUUUUUACAUAUUAUAGAUAAGUUGCGAUGGUUUAUUUAUUAUUUCAACUUUAUGGGGCAUAAAUAUAACUAUAUAUUUUAUCAUUUCUUAUUACGGUAAAGUAUUUUAGUUGGCUGAUUUUAGGCCUAUGGAGACAUAUUGAUUAAUAUGGAUAUUGCUUAAAUUAUUGGGCUUAUCCUCAAUAAUUUUACACUAUAAUAUAAUUAUAUGUUUUAAUGUAUAAUGUUUGUUGAAAACCAGCUAUAUUCUUAUGCGGAUGGUAUGUAGCCUCUGUCAAACUGUCUUUUAAAACUUUUUCUACAGUUAUUAAUGGGUUCAUAACAGCAGUUUAACAUCUCACUUAGAAUUCGGGAUUUAUAUUUUCAAUUGUUUUCUUGUAAAACCAUAAUGCACAAGGUACAGUUGUUAAAAAUUACUUUUAUUGAUUGCUGUUUCCAUUUCUGUACUUAAUUAUUAGUUAAAAUUAUUUAGUUGUUUCUAUUAUUUGAUUUAAUAGUUUAGAAGAUUGUAUUGUUUGGGCGAAGUAAGUUGAUUAACUUUAUUUUUAGUGUAAGUAAAAAGCAUUAUAUAUGCUAUACUUCGACAGGUGCAAUUUCCAUUACACCUACUUUGUUACGACUUAUCUAGCCUUUUGGAUAGAGUGACGGGCGAUGUGUGCAUGUCUUAGGUUUUAUUCAUUUUUUUAAUCUGUAAAUAAAUUACGGCCAAGUCCACUUUCGUAAGAUUUUUUAUUUCUUAGUUGAUAAUCUAUUUCGGGGUUGUAACCCAUCAUCGCCUUCUUAUUGGCUGCACUUUGACCUGAUGUAUAUGAGUUAUCAGUUAGUCAUAGUUGCAUACUUAUUCUUUUAAAGGUAUGCUUACAACGGCAGUACACAUGCUGUAAUAUCAAGAGAAGGUUGAGUAUGCGUGGAUUAUCGAGU